rnacentral:lncRNA from 1 species
AAUACUUAGAAGAUCCUGAUGAUCAAAAUACCAUGCAUGGAACUUGAGUUACAUCCACAUGUACCCAAAAAAUAAGAAUAAGUUACAUCUAUCACUAUUUGUCAUGGCAAGCACAAGAUAUGUCACCAAAUGAUGGCAUCUUGUUGAUUGGCUAGUAUUUUUUUUCUAAUUAUUGCAUCCGAUAAAAGAUCCUCCGAUGCUUAAGUCAGUUGGAGCUUGAGCACAGCAAUGAAGGAAGAGAAUAGGCUUAGUAUAUCAUAUCUCGAGGGUCUCCUCACUAUCUCUUUAUAUAGAGGUGGAGAAGUAGGUCGGAUCAUGAUUUGUUAGGCCGUUAGGAUAGAAAAUUUAAAGAUUGUUAGUCAUGGAUAGUGGCCACAUCCUAAUGAAGAUUCUCACUGUGGCCCACGUGGCCAAAUAGAUAGGUGAU